UCCCAGAUGGCUCAGUGGUAAAGAAUCUGCCUGCAGAGCAGGGGACGUGGGUUCGAUCCCUGGGUUGGGAA
rnacentral:tRNA from 1 species